UACGUAGGGGGCAAGCGUUGUCCGGAUUUAUUGGGUGUAAAGAGCGUGUAGGCGGCCGCACAGGUCCGUUGUGAAAACUGGAGGCUUAACCUUCAGACGUCGAUGGAAACCGUGCGGCUAGAGUCCGGAAGAGGAGAAUGGAAUUCCUGGUGUAGCGGUGAAAUGCGCAGAUAUCAGGAAGAACACCCGUGGCUAAGGCGGUUCUCUAGUACGGUACUGACGCUGAGACGCGAAAGCGUGGGGAGCGAACAGG
rnacentral:rRNA from 1 species